GAUGAACGCUGGCGGCGUGCCUAAUACAUGCAAGUCGAGCGAACGGACGAGAAGCUUGCUUCUCUGAUGUUAGCGGCGGACGGGUGAGUAACACGUGGAUAACCUACCUAUAAGACUGGGAUAACUUCGGGAAACCGGAGCUAAUACCGGAUAAUAUUUUGAACCGCAUGGUUCAAAAGUGAAAGACGGUCUUGCUGUCACUUAUAGAUGGAUCCGCGCUGCAUUAGCUAGUUGGUAAGGUAACGGCUUACCAAGGCAACGAUGCAUAGCCGACCUGAGAGGGUGAUCGGCCUCACUGGAACUGAGACACGGUCCAGACUCCUACGGGAGGCAGCAGUAGGGAAUCUUCCGCAAUGGGCGAAAGCCUGACGGAGCAACGCCGCGUGAGUGAUGAAGGUCUUCGGAUCGUAAAACUCUGUUAUUAGGGAAGAACAUAUGUGUAAGUAACUGUGCACAUCUUGACGGUACCUAGUCAGAAAGCCACGGCUAACUACGUG
rnacentral:rRNA from 1 species